UACGUAGGGUGCGAGCGUUGUCCGGAAUUACUGGGCGUAAAGAGCUCGUAGGUGGUUUGUCGCGUUGUCCGUGAAAACUCACAACUCAAUUGUGGGCGUGCGGGCGAUACGGGCAGACUGGAGUACUGCAGGGGAGACUGGAAUUCCUGGUGUAGCGGUGGAAUGCGCAGAUAUCAGGAGGAACACCGGUGGCGAAGGCGGCAUCCUGGGACCAAGUAUUGACGCUGAGGAGCGAAAGCUAGGGGGAGCAAACGGG
rnacentral:rRNA from 1 species